rnacentral:misc_RNA from 1 species
AUUUUUGAUUCAUUGAUGAAACUUUGAAUAAGAAAAUCUCUUUGUUCUUACAUUAAAGGGAACAUUGUGACCUGCUUUGAUCCUAAAUCUUACAUACUCACUCCAAACAAGCUAAGGAUGUUCUUGAAAGCAACCAGCUAUUCACAUUUGAUACAGCCAUACAGAAGACGGACAAAUAGCAAGCAGGCAUGAAAGCCGACAGUGCCUAGCAUAAGGAAGACACCAUAACUAACACAAGCCAUAUAUCCAAAGAAGAACGAGGUUUGCAUGAAACCGUUCAUGUCUGACCGUGAAAAGUAGUAGUACAUGGAAUAACCAAAUAAGUACAAGCCAG